CCAAUUUUUACCAAAGACACCUUGCAAUUUUAACCAAAUAUUUUUUAAAUUUCGUUGCUCCACCGUUCCAAUUUUUGCCAAAUGCACCUUGCAAUUUUAUCCAAAUAUUUUUUAAAAAAUUUCGUUGCUCCACCGUUCCGUACCAUUUAAACAUCAUGCAAAUAUAUUCUUUUUAGUAAACCAUCAUGCAUAUAUAUUCCUUUUAGUAAAUUUCACAAAACUAUAUAUAUGUUUUAUCGAACUAUCAAAAAACUACAGAUUUAAAACAUUGUAUCACAUAUAACACUAAAUUUAUCACAAGAUUUGAUAUAUAUUGAAGUUAUGAUAAAACUAUAGAUUUUAUAGUUCAGAUCUCUAGCAUUGAUGUCAUAUAGGGCUAUAAGUGUUAUAGUUUUGUGAUUAAAUGGAUUCGAAGCCAGUAGUUUUGUGAUAAGAUUUUUUUAUUAAAUCUGUAAUUUUAUAAUACUUGAACUUAAAUCUAUUGUUUAAAUUUGUAGUUUUGUGAUAUAACAUUUUAAAUCUGUAUCUUUACUAUUUGUAG
rnacentral:precursor_RNA from 2 species